rnacentral:lncRNA from 1 species
CUUAGCUCUAUUUUCUCCUGAAUAAACAUCCCCAGUCUUUCGAUCAUUGCACAGAUGGUCUUCAGCUUACUCUUUGUCCUGUUUCACUUCCCUUUGUCUUGAAUUCUGGAAAUUUAUCUAUCUGUUACACAGGUGUCAUCAUGGUAGGCCAUACGUCCAUGGAGGUGAAAGCAGGAAAGUGGGAAACUAACUGAAAAUGAAGAUGCUUUCUUUAUGCUUCAUGCCAUUUUGAGUUUAUACUUGUAUUAAAACCCAGAUCAUUCCAAACAAACUGUAACACUUAAACAUUAAUCAAAAUAAUGAACUCAUCUCAACUGGAAUGAAAUAGCCUUCUUUGGCAAAUUGUCACCUAUUCUGAGCACUCUCUUAAAGUGGGCGGAUCUCCAAGGAAACUCAAAGUUUCCUGUGUCUUAUUAAUGGGCAGCAUCAAGAACAUUAUGCCCCCAUCUUUAUUACCAAGGCAUCUAUCUAUAUCAUCUCAUCUCUUCAGAUAAGUCCAUGCCUUGAAUCACCACACUAGCUUGAAGUUGAUUGAAAAUACCAAAGAACUAUUUGGAAUGUUGAGUUAGCCACAUGUCUAUGAGCAUGAAUUUAAACAGUGAUUGCUUUGAGUAACAGUAUCACAUAUGGUUUUGUUCUUCUUCAAUAGGAUGCCCAAUGGUACUUAGGGUCUAAAUUGCCAAAGGAUGUGUAAGUGCCUUAAUGGCAGCAGCUGUGACACCGUGAUUGGCAUCUGUUACUGCCCUCCUGGCUUCACUGGGGCCGACUGCAGUCAAAUUUGUCCCGUGGAUCACUAUGGGCAAGACUGUGUCCAGCAGUGUUCCUGUGGCUCAGGACAGUGUGACCUGGUGACUGGAGGGUGCCAAUGUCCACCUGGCCAAAUGGGAGCCAGGCGUCAGCAAGGUAACAAUGACUGCAGGGUCACCUUGUCCGUCCAGGCACUAACUAAACUACACUGUGAAAGCAGAUUUGGUGCCAGGGAAUAUAAUUAAAUGGGCAUUGUUUAAAACACUUUCUUCUUAAAUGUGGAUUUAAUAACAUGAAAGUACACACUUUCAUAGAGCCAUAUAGGAAAUAGCCUACUGGAGGGUAAACAAGAAUUGAAAACA